rnacentral:ribozyme from 1 species
UGAUAUUCCAAUCAAAGAGAUUGUCGAAGAUGAUCAAGCAGAUUGUGCUCUUCCUCGUGCUGGCGGUCCUCACUGCUAAUGCCUUUCUGAACAGCA